GGAAAGGCGCGCGAUACAGGGUGACAGCCCCGUACACAAAAAUGCACAUGCUGUGAGCUCGAUGAGUAGGGCGGGACACGUGGUAUCCUGUCUGAAUAUGGGGGGACCAUCCUCCAAGGCUAAAUACUCCUGACUGACCGAUAGUGAACCAGUACCGUGAGGGAAAGGCGAAAAGAACCCCGGCGAGGGGAGUGAAAAAGAACCUGAAACCGUGUACGUACAAGCAGUGGGAGCACAGAGCAAUCUGUGUGACUGCGUACCUUUUGUAUAAUGGGUCAGCGACUUAUAUUCUGUAGCAAGGUUAACCGAAUAGGGGAGCCGAAGGGAAACCGAGUCUUAACUGGGCGUUAAGUUGCAGGGUAUAGACCCGAAACCCGGUGAUCUAGCCAUGGGCAGGUUGAAGGUUGGGUAACACUAACUGGAGGACCGAACCGACUAAUGUUGAAAAAUUAGCGGAUGACUUGUGGCUGGGGGUGAAAGGCCAAUCAAACCGGGAGAUAGCUGGUUCUCCCCGAAAGCUAUUUAGGUAGCGCCUCGUGAAUUCAUCUCCGGGGGUAGAGCACUGUUUCGGCAAGGGGGUCAUCCCGACUUACCAACCCGAUGCAAACUGCGAAUACCGGAGAAUGUUAUCACGGGAGACACACGGCGGGUGCUAACGUCCGUCGUGAAGAGGGAAACAACCCAGACCGCCAGCUAAGGUCCCAAAGUCAUGGUUAAGUGGGAAACGAUGUGGGAAGGCCCAGACAGCCAGGAUGUUGGCUUAGAAGCAGCCAUCAUUUAAAGAAAGCGUAAUAGCUCACUGGUCGAGUCGGCCUGCGCGGAAGAUGUAACGGGGCUAAACCAUGCACCGAAGCUGCGGCAGCGACGCUGAUGCGUUGUUGGGUAGGGGAGCGUUCUGUAAGCCUGUGAAGGUGUGCUGUGAGGCAUGCUGGAGGUAUCAGAAGUGCGAAUGCUGACAUAAGUAACGAUAAAGCGGGUGAAAAGCCCGCUCGCCGGAAGACCAAGGGUUCCUGUCCAACGUUAAUCGGGGCAGGGUGAGUCGACCCCUAAGGCGAGGCCGAAAGGCGUAGUCGAUGGGAAACAGGUUAAUAUUCCUGUACUUGGUGUUACUGCGAAGGGGGGACGGAGAAGGCUAUGUUGGCCGGGCGACGGUUGUCCCGGUUUAAGCGUGUAGGCUGGUUUUCCAGGCAAAUCCGGAAAACUAAGGCUGAGGCGUGAUGACGAGGCACUACGGUGCUGAAGCAACAAAUGCCCUGCUUCCAGGAAAAGCCUCUAAGCAUCAGGUAACAUCAAAUCGUACCCCAAACCGACACAGGUGGUCAGGUAGAGAAUACCAAGGCGCUUGAGAGAACUCGGGUGAAGGAACUAGGCAAAAUGGUGCCGUAACUUCGGGAGAAGGCACGCUGAUAUGUAGGUGAAGUCCCUCGCGGAUGGAGCUGAAAUCAGUCGAAGAUACCAGCUGGCUGCAACUGUUUAUUAAAAACACAGCACUGUGCAAACACGAAAGUGGACGUAUACGGUGUGACGCCUGCCCGGUGCCGGAAGGUUAAUUGAUGGGGUCAGCGCAAGCGAAGCUCUUGAUCGAAGCCCCGGUAAACGGCGGCCGUAACUAUAACGGUCCUAAGGUAGCGAAAUUCCUUGUCGGGUAAGUUCCGACCUGCACGAAUGGCGUAAUGAUGGCCAGGCUGUCUCCACCCGAGACUCAGUGAAAUUGAACUCGCUGUGAAGAUGCAGUGUACCCGCGGCAAGACGGAAAGACCCCGUGAACCUUUACUAUAGCUUGACACUGAACAUUGAGCCUUGAUGUGUAGGAUAGGUGGGAGGCUUUGAAGUGUGGACGCCAGUCUGCAUGGAGCCGACCUUGAAAUACCACCCUUUAAUGUUUGAUGUUCUAACGUUGACCCGUAAUCCGGGUUGCGGACAGUGUCUGGUGGGUAGUUUGACUGGGGCGGUCUCCUCCUAAAGAGUAACGGAGGAGCACGAAGGUUGGCUAAUCCUGGUCGGACAUCAGGAGGUUAGUGCAAUGGCAUAAGCCAGCUUGACUGCGAGCGUGACGGCGCGAGCAGGUGCGAAAGCAGGUCAUAGUGAUCCGGUGGUUCUGAAUGGAAGGGCCAUCGCUCAACGGAUAAAAGGUACUCCGGGGAUAACAGGCUGAUACCGCCCAAGAGUUCAUAUCGACGGCGGUGUUUGGCACCUCGAUGUCGGCUCAUCACAUCCUGGGGCUGAAGUAGGUCCCAAGGGUAUGGCUGUUCGCCAUUUAAAGUGGUACGCGAGCUGGGUUUAGAACGUCGUGAGACAGUUCGGUCCCUAUCUGCCGUGGGCGCUGGAGAACUGAGGGGGGCUGCUCCUAGUACGAGAGGACCGGAGUGGACGCAUCACUGGUGUUC
rnacentral:rRNA from 1 species